rnacentral:lncRNA from 1 species
AAUGUGAAGUCAUAGAACCAUAGAAUACCCUGAGCUGAAAGGGACCCACAGGGACCAUCGAGUCCAAUUCCUGCCCCUGCAUAACACAAGCCCAAAUCUUGACUCCAAAGCAGGUACUACACUGGAAGAACUGGAGAAGAAAACCCAGUGGCAGAGGAGAAAGAAACAUCCUUGGCACCACCUUUGCAAGUGGAACGCGGAAGACCUGGGUUCCAAAGAAGCCCUCUGCUGCUUGUGGGAUUCAGGACAAGGAAAGACUUGUGCUUCUUCCUCUCACCGCUCUGCAUAUUGGGGGUUCCUGCAAUCCAGGUUGGCAAGCCUACCAAAGUCCACACAAGUCUCAUGAAGGCCUUCUGCAGAGUUCAGAAGUCCUACCUGCAACAAAAAAACAUCUUUCUCUUCACGCAAUUAUUUAUUUCAGUGGGUGAUUCCUGUGAAUAAAGUGAGCAGGAUUUGGCUCUGGAUAUGGGUA